UCGCCUUGUGCUUAUACUGCGCGUGCACUACUAGGGCUAAUUAGUUUCUUGAACACCUGCCCAGUCGACUGCAGAACCACGCAGCACGUAGCAGAUCUGUGUGGCAGACAUGGAGGACGGGCAAUCAUCGCGCUAGCCCAUGGCAUAGCAAGCGAUCCACAGAUUUCGGACUGAGAUUUAAAUGAAACAAUGCAUUUGUUAAGGGAGGACAUUACAGAAAACCCACACAGUGAUCGCUGCGUACGCAUGUAUAUGGGCCUGAAAUGAAGCAAUCCCAUGUUGGAAAGCUGGCCAGUCGAGUGACAGCAUUGUGGUAAGGGGACGGAGGAUGGCCCGGAAGUGUCCACGGCUGAAGGGUUCUUCGGAAUUGUGAUGUUCACGACAUGGCAGAAAGAGG